UACGUAGGGUGCAAGCGGUGUCCGGAAUUAUUGGGCGUAAAGAGCUCGUAGGCGGUCUGUCGCGUCUGCUGUGAAAACCUAGGGCUUAACUCUGGGCGUGCAGUGGGUACGGGCAGGCUAGAGUGCGGUAGGGGAGACUGGAAUUCCUGGUGUAGCGGUGAAAUGCGCAGAUAUCAGGAGGGACACCGGUGGCGAAGGCGGGUCUCUGGGCCGUAACUGACGCUGAGGAGCGAAAGCAUGGGGAGCGAACAGG
rnacentral:rRNA from 1 species